rnacentral:rRNA from 1 species
GACGAACCACACGAACGUUAUUCGGAAUUACUGGGCUUAAAGGGUGCGUAGGCUGUGCGGAAAGUUGGGUGUGAAAUCCCCCGGCUCAACCGGGGAAUUGCGCUCAAAACUACCGUGCUGGAGGAAGACAGAGGUGAGCGGAACUUCGGGUGGAGCGGUGAAAUGCGUUGAUAUCCGAAGGAACACCGGUGGCGAAAGCGGCUCACUGGGUCUUUUCUGACGCUCAUGCACGAAAGCGUGGGGAGCAAACAGG